rnacentral:rRNA from 1 species
AUUGAACGCUGGCGGCAGGCCUAACACAUGCAAGUCGAACGGCAGCGGGGGAUAGCUUGCUAUCCUGCCGGCGAGUGGCGGACGGGUGAGUAAUGCAUGGGGAGCUGCCCAGUCGAGGGGGAUAACAACUGGAAACGGUUGCUAAUACCGCAUACGCCCUAAGGGGGAAAGGUGGGGAACUUCGGUCCUACCGCGAUUGGAUGCGCCCAUGUGGGAUUAGCUAGUUGGUGGGGUAACGGCUCACCAAGGCGACGAUCUCUAGCUGGUCUGAGAGGAUGACCAGCCACACUGGAACUGGGACACGGUCCAGACUCCUACGGGAGGCAGCAGUGGGGAAUAUUGCACAAUGGGGGAAACCCUGAUGCAGCCAUGCCGCGUGUGUGAAGAAGGCCUUCGGGUUGUAAAGCACUUUCAGUCAGGAGGAAGGGGUGAUGGCUAAUAUCCAUCAUCAUUGACGUUACUGACAGAAGAAGCACCGGCUAACUCCGUGCCAGCCGCCGCAGUAA